rnacentral:rRNA from 1 species
CUCAGUUCGGAUCGCAGGCUGCAACCCGCCUGCGUGAAGCUGGAAUUGCUAGUAAUCGCGGAUCAUCAUGCCGCGGUGAAUACGUUCCCGGGCCUUGUACACACCGCCCGUCACACCAUGGGAGCCGGUAAUACCCGAAGUCGGUAGCCUAACCGCAAGGAGGGCGCCGCCGAAGAUAGGAUUGGCGACUGGGGUGAAGUCGUAACAAGGUAGCCGUAUCGGAAGGUGCGGCU